CUAAAGACACAGGGUCAACUUUAUUCGUCGCCGAGCCUGUGCUUGGUAGUUCGGUCUCCUAUCAUCAGGGCCGUCUUACGGAUUAUCCCGAUACACACGGGAUGGAUCAAAUAUCGAGCGUGGCAACAACAUUCGAUUAAUCGUUCUUUACCUGUGGUUUGUUCCUGUACGUGGCGACGGUGGUGGUUGUGACGGGGGUGGCAACGGUGGCGGUGGCGGUAGCGGUUGUGGCGGAUAUGCUUCGCAUCGAACAAAGGCGAGAACGAAAAAGCAAGUGCGUGCGGGUGUAGAGAAGAAAGCGGGACAUAAGAGGAUAGGAGUUAGAGAGA